GUUGACCAAUGGAUCCACAUACUUACGCCACUAUAAACAAAGCAAACCUAAAUAAUUAUGAGGAUGUUCCUAACCAAGAAAAAACAACAACAACAACAACAACAAAACACCCUUCUUUUGGAAGAGAACAAGAGUGGUGAAGGAAGGAGGAACAGAUGGAAAUAAGAAGAAGCCACUAAAGAAAACUACUCAACAUCUGGUUUCUUGUAGACUGGGGAAAACAAAAUUUCCAGGAAGCCACAAGACAAAUCUAGAUGCCCAACCUGCUAACCUCAUUACAAUGGAUCUUGCCCGAGUGUUUGGGGACUGAAACAUGAGCAU